GGGAGGGAGGGUAUGUUGUCCUGUCUGCUGGGUCCUGGUCCGGUGGAGCUGCUGGUCCGUCUCAGACCUCCUCUCCUCGGCCUACUGUGGAUUAUUAUGGACUGUGUCGGUGGAUUAUUGUUGGAUUAUUAACUCUGCUGAAGUGACCGGUCAAAGGAAGCGAUCAUUAAUUUCAAACAAGAACCUUCCUCAGACAGACAGAGACCAGCCUCUACUGGACCUGGACUUGGACCAGGACCAGGACCAGGACCUGAGCCCAGCUGAUGAUGGGAGUAAGUCACAUACGUGCAAGUGGAUUUGAAUCUGGUCCGUCAAACUAAACAGCUGUGAGAAAAGUCUUUCUCUGUCUGAGCCGGUUGGCUCCACUUGUUACAGACCAGUUUUAAAGUCCAACAGCAGGCGACAGACCGAAGAUCCGGAGACCAAAUAGUCCACACAGAACCGACAAGCUGCCGACUCAACGGCUCAGUGAGCUGAAGAAGUUCUGUGAAGUUCUGAGGUUGUGGGUUCAAGCCUGGAGUCAGAACCAGUAAGAAAGGAAGGACGAGUAUCUGAUGACGUCGCUUCCACCGUUAAAGUUGUGAGUUCAAAUCCUCGAGGUUUUUACACAAUUAUUUUGUUCUCAAAAGAAGUGAAACGCUCAAAUAAAGUGAUUAAUUUAAGUAAAUAAAGAGCUGCCACACAGUUAGUGUCAGUACAACAGCACAACUACAGCAAACCUGUUUCUUCAACACGUCUGAAUGUAUUGAUUUGUUAUUGGAUCAGCACACAUGAGAUCAGAUCAGAUGAGAUGAUUGAAACAUAACAGAUGUGUCAGGAGAGGUGAAGAACCACAGACCUCCCCUCCAUCACACACACACACACACACACAC